GACAGAGGGGGGCAAGCGUUGCUCGGAAUUAUUGGGCGUAAAGGGCGCGUAGGCGGCUUUGCAAGUGGCGGGUGAAAUCCCUCGGCUUAACCGAGGAACUGCCUGCCAGACUGUGAGGCUUGAGACCGGGAGAGGUGAGUGGAAUUCCCAGUGUAGCGGUGAAAUGCGCAGAUAUCGGGAGGAACACCAAUGGCGAAGGCAGCUUGCUGGGACGGUACUGACGCUGAGGCGCGAAAGCGUGGGGAGCAAACAGG
rnacentral:rRNA from 1 species